GAUGAACGCUGGCGGCGUGCCUAAUACAUGCAAGUCGAGCGAACAGACGAGGAGCUUGCUCCUCUGACGUUAGCGGCGGACGGGUGAGUAACACGUGGAUAACCUACCUAUAAGACUGGGAUAACUUCGGGAAACCGGAGCUAAUACCGGAUAAUAUAUUGAACCGCAUGGUUCAAUAGUGAAAGACGGUUUUGCUGUCACUUAUAGAUGGAUCCGCGCCGCAUUAGCUAGUUGGUAAGGCAACGGCUUACCAAGGCAACGAUGCGUAGCCGACCUGAGAGGGUGAUCGGCCACACUGGAACUGAGACACGGUCCAGACUCCUACGGGAGGCAGCAGUAGGGAAUCUUCCGCAAUGGGCGAAAGCCUGACGGAGCAACGCCGCGUGAGUGAUGAAGGUCUUCGGAUCGUAAAACUCUGUUAUUAGGGAAGAACAAAUGUGUAAGUAACUAUGCACGUCUUGACGGUACCUAAUCAGAAAGCCACGGCUAACUACGUG
rnacentral:rRNA from 1 species